rnacentral:lncRNA from 1 species
GGGGCCACAGCCGCCCCUCCCCCGCCCGCGCCCCCGCCGGGGGGAGGGGCGCGCGGAGUGGGACUCUUUCCGUUUGGUCCAGCCCCGCCGUGCACGCAGUUCCCUACACUUCUCGUCAUCCUCGCUCUCGGGGCUCUUUAUUCUGCUGAGCGGUGCUCUUAGGAUUUCUCUCUCUCUUCUCUCUCCUCUCUCUCUCUCUCUCUCUCUCUCUCUCUCUCUCUCUCUCUCUCUCUUUCUGUCUCUUUUUCCCUGACCACGUUCGCGAUGGUGGGUAGCAGCAGCAAGGUGGCCCUGGCAGGGGAGGGGUUGGUCUCGAGAUUGGGCACCGGGCGGAGAAUGUCUCCUUUUCAACUUUGUCUGUGUGGCUUGAACCCCGGGAGGAGGCCACACGCCGGUUGUGGGUGUAGAGUGAUUUCUAAGUAGUUGAGUUGUUGAGAUGAGGGUAAGGACUGCUAAAUGGUAGGCAGGUUUUGUUUUCAUUGGUGAAUCCGGUGUCAUCAUAUUCCGGUCAUAUGUUGAAAUAUUCUUUGUUUAGGUCUUGAAGUAGAGGAUCUCACACUGCACGUCCACAUUGUGUUGUUUUUAAAUGAAGUCUAGGAGUAUGGGUUUCUAGAAUUUCGGAUGUGAGUGAAGGUCCGGACGUGUGUGGGCCUCAGCUCUGGCCUUGACAGUGAACUUUGUGGCUGUGUUUCGGAUUUCAAAGAUUUGCCCCAUAGCUGGGUUGCUAGUGGAGUCGUGCAUUUUUCUGAAUGGUAGGUGUCAGGAAUAUAGAUGCUUGGGGAAGUUAGAGAGGGAAGAACAUUUGUAUAUUAAUAAUUGAUAGCUGAAUAUUAGAAUCAGAUUAAUUUGGGCUGAUGAAAGUUGUGUUUUUUUUUUUUCAAAACAGUUGUGCACUCUAGGAAGAAAGGCUUUUCAUAGGCAUACUUUGUAAGGGGUUCCUUAAGUCGAGGAGCUCAGAUAUAGCCUUUCAGAGAGGCUACUCAUCAACACCAACAUCUGCAGCUUUAUUGAGGUAAAGGGGACCGAAACUGAGGCUGAGAUGUGUAAGCAUGCUUUUCAGUGCUUAUGCUGUUUGUUUACAUUUGCUGUUCACUCACGUUUGGGCAGUAGAAAUAAAUAGGUCAGCUUUUCUUCGGUUUUUGAAAGCUAGUCCCCUCUCUUUUUUCAGUUUCACAAUUUACUUGGUUUACAGCCUUGUAGGAAACCAUUACUACAUUUUUACUGGAAAUACUAUUAUUCAUGUUAAUUUCGCAUCAUUCCUUGCUAGUGUGGGCAUUAGAAGUCUAAUUGUCAGGCCUGAUAAAUACGCUAUUCUUCCUUCUCCCUACUUCCUCUCCUUUUUCCCAAAGCGGAGAGUUACUCAGUAGUUAAAGUUGGAUGGAACUUUUUUUUUU